AACGAACGCUGGCGGCAUGCCUAACACAUGCAAGUCGAACGGGAUCCUAGCUUGCUAGGUGAGAGUGGCGGACGGGUGAGUAACACGUGGGAAUCUGCCUUUUGGUUCGGGAUAACCGCGGGAAACUGCGGCUAAUACCGAAUGCCCUCGAGAGAGGAAAGAUUUAUCGCCAGAAGAGGAGCCCGCGUCCGAUUAGGUAGUUGGUGGGGUAAAGGCCUACCAAGCCGACGAUCGGUAGCUGGUCUGAGAGGAUGAUCAGCCACACUGGGACUGAGAUACGGCCCAGACUCCUACGGGAGGCAGCAGUGGGGAAUAUUGGACAAUGGGCGAAAGCCUGAUCCAGCAAUGCCGCGUGAGUGAUGAAGGCCUUAGGGUUGUAAAGCUCUUUCGGCAGGAACGAACGGUCUUUUCUAAUACAAGAGGCUAAUGACGGUACCUGAAGAAGAAGCACCGGCUAACUACGUGCCAGCAGCCGCGGUAAU
rnacentral:rRNA from 1 species